rnacentral:rRNA from 1 species
UAUCUCUGUAGAGUCUGCAUAUCAAUAAGCGGAGGAAAAGAGACUAACUAGGAUUCCCUCAGUAACGGCGAGUGAAGCGGGAAGAGCUCAAAUUUGAAAUCUUCAAGGUUUUACCUUGACGAAUUGUAGUUUAAAGAAGUGUUUUCUGUUGGAAUUUUGGUAAAAGUUCUUUGGAAAAAGACAUCAAAGAGGGUGAGAAUCCCGUAUUUGACCAUUAUUUCCAGCUUUGUGAUACACUUUCAAAGAGUCGGAUUGUUUGGGAAUGCAGUCCAAAAUGGGUGGUAAAUUUCAUCUAAAGCUAAAUACUGGCGAGAGACCGAUAGCGAACAAGUACCGUGAGGGAAAGAUGAAAAGAACUUUGAAAAGAGAGUUAAACAGUACGUGAAAUUGUCAAAAGGGAAGCGUCUGACACCAGUGUUGUUUUCUCGAAAAUCAAUUAAAAAGAUGGCCGGAUUUUGUGUUGUAUUGACUUUAUCAGCUUUCUGCACUUUUUCUUGUCUUUUUUAAUGCACUUUUCGUUUAACAAGUCAACAUCAAUUUCUUUUGUUGUAAAAGAGGUCAUUGGAAGGUGGCUUUCUUUUCGGAGAAAGUGUUUAUAGCCUUUGCCUCUGCAAUCGGAGAGAUUGAGGUCUGCAGCGUAGAUCCUUCGGGGUUAGAUAGCAUUUGUGCUAAGUUAUAGCCUUUCAUAGACAACUUGUUGACUAUGAUCAGUCAUGUAGCUUACUCGCUUAUGCUAUUUUACCUACGCUUAGGAUGUUGAUGUGAUACUGCGAGCA